rnacentral:rRNA from 1 species
AAAAUUAGAGUGUUCAAAGCAGGCAGAUCCAAUUUUCUGCCACCGAAUACAUUAGCAUGGGAUAAUGGAAUAGGACCCUGUCCUCCUAUUUUCAGUUGGUUUUGGCAGCGCGAGGACUAGGGUAAUGAUUAAUAGGGAUAGUUGGGGGCAUUAAUAUUUAAUUGUCAGAGGUGAAAUUCUUGGAUUUAUGAAAGAUUAACUUCUGCGAAAGCAUCUGCCAAGGAUGUUUUCAUUAAUCAAGAACGAAAGUUAGGGGAUCGAAGACGAUCAGAUACCGUCGUAGUCUUAACCAUAAACGAUGCCGACCAGCGAUUAGGAGACGUUGAAUACAAAACACCACCAUCGGUUGCGGUCGUCCUUGGCGUCUCGGUUUCGGCCGGGGCGCGGGGGCGGCUUAGCCCGGUGGCACCGGUGAA